GUAAUUAGAUAGGGAACUUGGGGGCCUCCAUUUUUUAUUCCCUUUUUGCAAAGAAAGAACACAGUAACAACACAACCAUGAUUUCUCAGUUCUUCGUCCUUUCCCAAAGAGGCGACAACAUCGUCAUCCAUGACGAUCGUGGUGAAGUACAGAAGGGAAGUGUAGAAACAUUUUUUCGAAAAGUCAAGUUCUGGAAAGAGGACACUGAUGGUGAAGCUCCACCUGUUUUUGUAGCACGGGAGCAAGCUAAUGUCGGGUACGGCUAUUACGAAAUCUGUUGUUGCUAAUUAACCUGGUGAUAGGGAGAGGGAUGAGAUACUUGUUGCUGUAAUUGAGAAAAUAAGCGUCACAUUUAAUUCUUAUGUUAUGAAACACUAAUUUUUCUUGCAGAUUCAAACUUUAUCAUAACUUUAUCCAUAUGUUUAGUCAAACAAAUUAAUUAUUGUAAG